rnacentral:lncRNA from 1 species
GAGGAGAGAGGUGUCCACUCUGCAGGAGACAGUGCCACCAGCUGCAGGGCUGAGAUAGUGGGUGUAGCAGGAUAGGACGGUGGGGUCCUGAUCAUCGAGGGUCAGGAGCUGGGGCUUGGCUUGUGAGCCAGUAUACUGUAGCGCAGCUUCCAUGGGGGGACCAGUGUGUAUGCCCAGGCUGUCCAGGAGGCAGUGUGCGCGCCCAGGCUGUCCAGGUCCAAGUCUUGGCAUUGUCCUUUCUGUGCCUUCAUCUGGGAAACGGCAAUAGUCACGAUUAUACCUAC